GAGUCACUCGAAACAGGAUUGGCAAGGCAUAAGCAAUGUAAAGCCCGAUUGUCGCUAUAGAUGUCAUGGCUUGAAAUGCUACCAAGCUUCCAAGAGACGUCAAUGCCAUGCAAAAUGCUAUAAAAGCUGACGUCCAGACUGCAUUUAGCGGAACCUCAUGCUUGUUUACUUUAUGCCAGAACGACGAAUAUGGCAUUGCUCCAUCUCUGGAGAAUGCAUAAGCCAUCCUCGAGUUGCUAGUUAAU
rnacentral:misc_RNA from 1 species